GCAGGUGUGCUUGCUGGCUGUUCUCCACCUGAUUACUGCACCUGAGGCUGGCGCAUUCUUCCUGCCCUUCUGGUGUUUCAAGCUUGCGAGGAAGUGGCGCCUGGGUCUGUCGCUGCCCUGGCUAGGCGAGGAGGAUGGCCGGCACGAACACGUGCACUACCACAACCACAACCACAACCACAGGCACAGGCUGCCAUCACCGCCGCGCCGACCGUUCUUCAGAUAACCAACGCACUGCGUCAACAGCUGAGCAUCAUUUACCCGCCCAACUACGAGGUGGAUCGCAGCGCAGCGGCCGGCCGUCUUGUAGUGUGACGGGGAUCGAACCCGGGGCCCCACUCCUCCGUGUCCGCCACAGAAGGAAGAGACUUCGCCAGCUGCGGCCCACUAGCGCUGCUGCCCUGUGUUUCCCCUGAGCUGCGAGCCACGACGCCACACAGCGACCUGCAGCCUGGUUCCGCUCUCCCGAUACGAACCCCGUACCUCGUGUCUGCAGAACAAAUCACACAACUGCGACUGAGAGAAAUCUCUCCGCCGCGGCUGCAUUUACUGUGACCCCCACGCACCGAACAUAUCGGUACCAAAAGGGAAUUCUCAUAGAAAAUGAUGCUAUAAAAGAUAACUACUGGGAUAUGACUUAUAAGUAAGAGUUGCUCACUGGAAUGCAAAUCUGCUCUCUCCAAUCCGUAUUGAUUGUGCCUGCUGGUGACGACUCUCGCAUGUGGAGUCAGAUACCGCCAGAACAUACUCUCUGGUGGAGCCUGUCCUCAAAUCCACAACCACUGUGUCUUCUGAACUUCGCAUCAUCUCGUAUGAGAAGAAGUUUAAUUCUGUUACAUGUGAUUGUCCCCUUCAACUCACUACUAUGAUCGAUAACAAGUUAACUCACAGUAAACUGUUACCUGGUCAUGAUAGGCGCUACGAAAAUUAAGCUUUGAAGCUAGGAGCACUGGUACUUUACUCUUUCGGAAAAGGCAUUCGUAUAUAAUUUCUCUGCUUCACUAAACUGCAGACUUCAUUGCCUCUCAGAUAAGAAUGUACGUCGGUCCAUUAUACCACUACUUAUCGCAAGCAAUGAGCUCAUCGAAACUUAUUCCCACUCUAACAAUACCACCACUUGCAAAGUAGGUUAGAAAUCAGAUUAAUAAUGUUGCUCACGCAGCAUAUGUUCGCUUUAUCGGGCAAACAACUAAGUUAUUGACUGUGGACAGUAUCGUCAGAAUGCAAAUAAUGAAGUCACUGUAAGAAAGUCAUUAAUUUUGGCACUUAUCUUGAAUGGAUUCCCCCGUAGAUUUCGUCGAAGUUGUUAUGGCUCAUCUUGUUGAUUCUAGGGUGAUUCCACUUUGACUGCUAGAAGGUCCAGAUUUGUAUUUUAGCAAUAUUUGAAGACCUAACAAAUGUGUUUUUCGGGAAAUUCUUGAUGACCAAAC